AUGAGACUCAAAGUGUUUAGUACCGGAAUUAUUCUUUAAGACUUUUUUUCUUUAACAAAGCAUUCACAUAAUUUGUUUAGUAAAUUAUACUUAUCUCGCAAAAGUUAGCUUGUACGGAACAAAGCAUUCACAUAACCUGUCUGGGUAAUUUACUAAUGCCGCAAUAGCUAGCCUGUCUGGAACCGAUCAGAUAUUAAAACACAACACUGUGUGACACUGCAUUACAUGUGAAUGGCCCCUACGCUAAUAGGAUUUUGUUUCUCUCUCCCUGUCUCGUCCUCAAACCCGAGGACAUUGAGACAAACAGACCAGUUCCGGCUGCCGUGGAGGUCAACACACCACUGAUCUACUGGCUGCCCUUCAACGUGAUGCCCAGCCGAUGCCUGACCACCGACGGAACCCGUUAAAUCUCCUUAUCCGUUUACAUCCCAUAUAUAUAUAUGUAUGCAGUGAGGGAGUGAUUCCCCAACAUCGAGGUGGCAGAGAUCCGGGACCUUCUACGGAGGAAGUGCAACAAUGCCAGUUACAAGGCCUCCAGUAGUUCAAAUCAGAGCUAGAUGUCCAUAUAGUACAAGUUGUUCGCAAUUGUUCUCUUCCCGGCAUUUCAAAGAAAGUCGACUGUUUAAGGUUCCCCAUUUUGCCAAUAUCUGUUUUGUGUGUUACUUUUGUGUCAUUAAUAAAGAUCCUUUUUUGAAA